rnacentral:rRNA from 1 species
AUCGGGAUAACACCUGGAAACAAGAUGCUAAUACCGGAUAACAACAGAUGAUGCCUAUCAACUGUUUAAAAGAUGGUUCUGCUAUCACUCUUGGAUGGACCUGCGGUGCAUUAGCUAGUUGGUAGGGUAACGGCCUACCAAGGCGAUGAUGCAUAGCCGAGUUGAGAGACUGAUCGGCCACAUUGGGACUGAGACACGGCCCAAACUCCUACGGGAGGCAGCAGCU